AUCAAAGUGGCAGAUAUAUGCGGUAGUUUUAAAGACUACAAAAGGCUUAGCCCUUCGAUA
rnacentral:tRNA from 1 species